ACAUGCAAGUCGGACGGUAGCACAGAGGAGCUUGCUCCUUGGGUGACGAGUGGCGGACGGGUGAGUAAUGUCUGGGGAUCUGCCCGAUAGAGGGGGAUAACCACUGGAAACGGUGGCUAAUACCGCAUAACGUCGCAAGACCAAAGAGGGGGACCUUCGGGCCUCUCACUAUCGGAUGAACCCAGAUGGGAUUAGCUAGUAGGCGGGGUAAUGGCCCACCUAGGCGACGAUCCCUAGCUGGUCUGAGAGGAUGACCAGCCACACUGGAACUGAGACACGGUCCAGACUCCUACGGGAGGCAGCAGUGGGGAAUAUUGCACAAUGGGCGCAAGCCUGAUGCAGCCAUGCCGCGUGUAUGAAGAAGGCCUUCGGGUUGUAAAGUACUUUCAGCGGGGAGGAAGGCGGUGCGGUUAAUAACCGCGCCGAUUGACGUUACCCGCAGAAGAAGCACCGGCUAACUCCGUGCCAGCAGCC
rnacentral:rRNA from 1 species